rnacentral:ncRNA from 1 species
UCGGAAUCAUAGCAAAGCAUGCGAAAACAUGUGGCGCAAAACUAGAAGGGCCUAACCUUGUAUUAUCUAUUAGAAUUAAUUUUUAUUAAUUAGUUCAAGAAUAGCUGAUAGUCUGCUUAUAAAUGCACAUUUAUUUAUAAGCUAAGUAUGGCAGCCAGUUACCGAG